rnacentral:rRNA from 1 species
AACGCUAGCUACAGGCUUAACACAUGCAAGUCGAGGGGUAACAUGGAGGGAGCUUGCUUCCUCCGAUGACGACCGGCGAAUGGGUGAGUAACGCGUAUCCAACCUGCCCCUUUCCCACGGAUAGCCCUUAGAAAUGAGGAUUAAUACGUGAUGGCAUCCGGCAAUCGCAUGAGCGUGCGACUAAAGAUUCAUCGGACAGGGAUGGGGAUGCGUCUGAUUAGCUAGUUGGCGGGGUAACGGCCCACCAAGGCGACGAUCAGUAGGGGUUCUGAGAGGAAGGUCCCCCACAUUGGUACUGAGACACGGACCAAACUCCUACGGGAGGCAGCAGUGAGGAAUAUUGGUCAAUGGGCGCGAGCCUGAACCAGCCAAGUAGCGUGCAGGAUGACUGCCCUAUGGGUUGUAAACUGCUUUUGCCUGGGGAUAAAGUGCGGCACGCGUGCCGCUUUGCAGGUACCAGGUGAAUAAGGACCGGCUAAUUCCGUGCCAGCAGCCGCGGUAAUACGGAAGGUCCGAGCGUUAUCCGGAUUUAUUGGGUUUAAAGGGAGCGUAGGUGGAAUGGUAAGUCAGCCGUCAAAUCGCGCAGCUUAACUGCGCCCAGCGGUUGAAACUGCCGUUCUUGAGUGCACAAGAGGAAGGUGGAAUUCGUGGUGUAGCGGUGAAAUGCUUAGAUAUCACGAAGAACUCCGAUUG